rnacentral:lncRNA from 1 species
CAACAACUCAUAACCAACAUCAAAUUAGCUUCACUAUGAUUUAUUGAGGCCACUCUCAAAGAAAAGGUCCAUUCUGGAAGGCAGUGAAGAUAACAAAAUUCACAGUGUCACAGUCAGCAAUGGUGUGGGCUCUUUUGCUUCUUGGAGCAGGACAAGUCAGCCCCUGGAUUCCUUGAUUGCCGCCCCGGCUGACAAACCUAGAACAACAGCGGCACAGACAUUCUCUCUGUGCGUGCCCGGCUGUUCCGUUUUGCUUCAAAGCCGGUGGGGGACGGAGGGGUGGUAAAAUAUUGGUAACUCAUGUGAUAGAACUGAUGGUAUUCUCUCUGACAGAUCAGAGCUGCUGGCCCGAUGUGCAUAACUGAUGUAAAUAAUCAGUGAUUCUGCAGGUGCCAGAAAAGUAGGUCUCUCUAAGGAACGAAGUUUUUCUUCAUGUCCAUUAACCAUCAGUACUAAUUUUACUAUUCGAUCCUUCACAUUCAUGUUUCUGUUACUGCCUGCUUGAUGUUUUGCUCGGCUCAACUCUAAGACUGAGUUGAUGAGGAUUUUAUUUUAAUUACUACAGUAAUAAGCUCAUUGUAAAAGUUAAAUAAGAGAUGAUAGAAAAUUUUAACAUCUUUGCCCAGGCAGCCCCCUCCAGUUCUUUCCUCCUGAAGUAUUAACUUAAUGUUGUCUUUUAACAGAUGCAUACAAACGAAUAUUGAGUUUUUUUUAAAAGAAUCAUGCUAUAGAUAUGAAUUCCAUAAUUUUCUUUGAAGGUGAAUUUUUCUAAUUUUUAAAUGUGUAUAUUUCAAGCAAUGCUACUUAGCAUAUAAUAGUUU